CCGCUCCCGCGUCCACCCCCUCACCGCACCCAGGCGCGCUCCCGGGCACCCCAGCCCGCCUCUGCUCCCGCACCCCUCUCCCGGGCCUCGGUAGGGGAGGACACGUCAGGGGACAUAAAUAAAUAAAUAAUUCCAUUCAGCGGAUGACAGCGAGGCCGGGCGGCUGCUGCUGGGCGGGGGGACCGGGAGAGCGGCGGUGCGCACCGGGUGUCAGAGUCAGGCAUGGAGCUGUCAGGUGCUAGUGAAGCUAAGAGAUCAGACUGACCUUGGUUAAGUGCAGAGAGGAGGCGGACACUUCACAUACCAUUGGAAACACGUGGACAGAUAACAGUGCACCAUGUGUAAACGUGAAUGCUGUACUCACCGAAUUGCACCACACUUCAUAUGUUACUAGGAGUCAAGCUUGGCAUGUGGUGUUCUCCUGUGGAGACUUACACAAGGGUAUCCAGGCACCGUGAACUCAGAACAGUACACCAGUAGAGCU
rnacentral:lncRNA from 1 species